GUGGGGAAUAUUGGACAAUGGGCGAAAGCCGGAUCCAGCCAUGCCGCGUGUGUGAAGAAGGUUUUCGGUUUGUAAAGCACUUUAAGUUGGGAGGAAGGGCAGUAAGUUAAUACCUUGCUGUUUUGACGUUACCGACAGAAUAAGCACCGACUAACUUCGUGCCAGCAGCCGCGGUAAUACGAAGGGGGCAAGCGUUAAUCGGAUUUACUGGGCGUAACGCGCGCGAAGGUGGUUUUGUAAGUUGGAGGUGAAAUACCCGGGCUCAACCUGGGAAAUUCCUCCAAAACUGCAUGACUAGAGUACGGUAGAGGGUAGUGGGAUUUCCUGUGUAGCGGUGAAAUGCGUAGAUAUAGGAAGGAACACCAGUGGCGAAGGCGACUACCUGGACUGAUACUGACACUGAGGUGCGAAAGCGUGGGGAGCAAACAGGAUUAGAAACCCUAGUAGUCC
rnacentral:rRNA from 1 species